rnacentral:misc_RNA from 1 species
UAGCCAAAUAAAAUACAUCGGGCAAUAUUGUUUCCUGUUCGAGAAAAUGUUCUGUGCAGUUCAUGAGGAACGAUAAUCGACAAUCGGUAGUAGAUUGAAUAGACCUUGGUUUCCCUAGUCAAUUAGCGUACGCUUGACAGUACAGAAUAUGGUAUUUAGGUUCUAGAAAUUUCGUGAAAGUUGCAAUUACAAGAAAAUUUUCGACGAAUUCGAGUUUACUUACUUCAGAAUCCAGUAUUCUGUUGCAUACGCGUGGCCGAGCAUUACAUAUUGCAGUCAAUCCAAAUAUACUUGUUUAUUUAAUAUAAUCUAACGAUCGUUUAAUAUUCAAAAUGUCUUUGUUUGGAUCUUUAAUGGGCGAUUUCGACGAUGAUCCUAUAUUUGGAUCUCAUAUGCGUACUAUGAGGCAGAUGAACAGCAUAAUGAACUCCCUUUUUACUGAUCCAUUUGGAAUGAUGGGUCAGAAUGCAUUGACUGAUUCCCAACAGCGAAGUGGAGUACAUCAUAAUGAAAUGCAAAUGAUGCCAUUUGCUUUUCCAACAAUGCCAUCUAUGAACUAUAAUAGAUUAUUCACUAAUUUUGAUAAUUUGGCAUCAAAUGGAAACUGUCAUUCCUUUACAAGCAGUUCUGUAACGACUAUGGCUAGUGGUGCAGAUGGACGCCCGCAAGUUUAUCAAGAAACAAUGUCUACAAGAACUGCACCCGGUGGAGUAAAAGAAACCAAAAAAACUGUAUGCGAUACAAGAACUGGAACAAAGAAAAUGGCUAUUGGUCAUCAUAUUGGAGAUAGAGCCCACAUUCGUGAAAGGGAACAGAACAUUCAUAAUGGAGAGCAAGAAGAACAUGAAGAGUUCAUUAAUCUUGAUGAAGAUGAAGCUGAGAGUUUCAACAAUGAGUGGGAAUCUUGUACAAGACGAUCAGCAGGUGCAAUUGCUGGACCACAUCAUAGUUCAUAUCCUAACUACAAUAGACGUCGUCCUGAUUACAAGCAGUUGGCUUUGCCUGAUGCAUCAGGAAGAUAUAAGAAGCAUGGAAGAAAGUCUGGUAGAAAAAUGUGAUUACAAUACAUUGGCUGAAUCCAAAUCUCUUGGUGCAUUCCUUCUUCAACUUUGUCUCUGAGGGGCUAGCAUCUUCUGAAGCUGCCCAUCAAAAAAAGACAACUACAGGAUAUCGAAAACGUGAACAUACUCCAGACACCGAAUCUAAGCAUAAGCGUCCCGCAGUGUGAAAUAGUAAUCUAUUAGAAUGUCUUAGGAUAUAAUAUCACAAAAUAUAAUUAGCUUUGCCUGUAUAUCUUCUCAGUAAUCAUUAGUAUUUAUGAUAAAAAAAGUUUGCAAUUUAUUUGCAUUACUAUUAUAUAAUUACAAAAAAUAUAAAAUAUAUCCUUAUAUUUGUAUUCGUAAAAUACAUUAGAAAGGAAACGUUUCAACUGGUAUUAUUAUUACUCUUAUUUCUCUUACGUCUACAUUACUUAUUCAUAAUAAUAAAGAAAGGAAACGUUUCAACUAAGAUUGCUAUACUUCUAAUUUCUCUUAUGUAUAUCAAAAUAUAAAGUAUAGUAUGAAAAGUUACGUUACAGAUAUAUUACUCUUAUAUGUUAGUUAUUAUAUAAAUACUCAAAUAUUGAUUAAAAUUCAAAACUAUGUCAAUCAUAUAAAAUUAUGAAUAAUAAAUAAAUUAAUAAACAGCA